UCCCCCCCCCCCGGGCACCAACGCACUGACGCGUGGGACCACUGCAUAAAGUAACGCGUCCGGUAUGGAAACGACGAAGACCGUGAGCUGCGAAGAUCGCAAGGAUUUUCCCACCGAGCUUUGUUUCAGGGGGCAGGCGGUUUGCUUGGGAGCCACAGGGAAGAAAGGAACUCAUUUAGGUUAUGGCUGCAGGGACACUUGAAAGGUGCAGCGUCCACCGAUCGAUCGAGUCCUGGAAUGACAUUAGAAAUAAGGUGCGCGUCAUCAUAUUUUCUUUCUGAAUACCGUGGCUUUCUGGUCCAAGAUGUUUAUAGGCGAAGUAUGUCGGGAAGUGAUUUCAUUUUUAAGUGCUUGAUGUAGAGGAUUGAAGUGUAAUCUUGAGUGCUAGCUGUUUUCUCAAAAAUCUUGUGUGGUAACUCUAUUUAUUUCUGAAGAAAGAGUGAGGGAGGAACGGUAGUUCUGCGGAAUAGCGUUCGGCCCCAUGGAGAUCAGGGUGUCGAUGGCCUGCUUCACUGUAUAUUAUGCAGGAGAAGAUUUGAUUGUAAAGAGACAAAUACAAAGAUUGGUAUGGAUGAAAAAUAUAUGGAAUCUUGCGUGCUUAUCAAAACUGAAUUGGGCAUGGGAGGUGUCGGCAAAAGUUUGAUUAUGCAACGGAUCUGGAGGAGAAUGAAAUUAUUAUUAUUUUUUAAAUAUAUAUAAAAAUAUACUUGUUCUAGACGACGUUUGGAAUGAAAAUGAAACAUAUUUGAUAAAUUAUUUGAAAAACAGUAAAAGAUCUAAAUGUAUAUAUUUUGGAUGAUAUUUGGGAUGAACGUAUAAGGUAUUUGAUAAUUUAUGAAAGAUUUAUUUAAUGGGAGAGAAAAUAAUAAUUUUUUGUGAUGAAUCUUGACGUAAGAUUAUUAGACGAUGUUUGGAACGAAUAUGUGAAAUAUUUUAAAAGAUCAAUUGAGCAAAGAGUUUUUAAUCAUUUUUCAUUCAUAUGAUUCGAUUGUUGGACGAUGUGUGGAAUGAAGAAACAAUCGAGUAUGCUCUCAGAUUCUCGUUCGGAACAACCAACAAUAUUGUAGAGUAUGAAGCUAUGAUCACAGGCUUGGAGCUUGCAAGGGAGGUCGGAGCCAGACGACUAGCUGCCUAUAGUGACUCGACUCGGAGUUGGUUGUUAACCAGGUUAAGGGAGAGUAUGAAGCCAAAGACCCAGUGAUGGCAAAGUCUAUUAGCUUGGAGUUUUCCAGCUUCGAGCUGUACCGAGUACCGAGAGAAGAAAAUUCAAAGGAGUAUAGUCUACAGGAAAAAUAAGUAAGUUGUAGACUCCUCUGAAAUAUUUUAAAAGAUCAGCUGAGCAAAGGGCUUCUAAUCAUUUUUCAUUUACAUGAUAUGCAUAUAUCAACUGAUAGUUGGAUAAGAUGGAGACUUUAGAACCAUUCUGAUGCAAAAUUUACCAUUGAUCUUUGCCACAAAGCUUGAAUCUGUGGUUCUUCAUUUUACGGCAUUCUCAAGCAGUUGCGACACUUGUAUGUAGCUUCGAUAUUUUUAAGCAUUCUAUGCCACAGAGUACUUGCCAAAAAACAUCAGUAUAUGACCUUCUUCUUGGCUAUGAAGAUGACAUAAGCAGCGAGAAUCAUGUGCUUUCUCGCCUUGUGUGUAGGCCACUUAGUCAUGAUGGAUGUGAUUGAAAUUAUAGGCUUUUUGAUGUAUUAUGCAUCCAUUCAAAUCAUUAGCUGAUUCCAGUUGAAUUUUAAAGCUUCAAAAGUGAGAAGGAACAUAAAGCAUCUGAGUAGCCACAUUGCAUGCACAAAGAGAUUUGAGGAGAAUAGCAGGUAAGUAAGCUUGAAAAAGGAAGCCAAUCAAGACCAAGUAAUCCAUGUCACUCAUGCAUGCAACAAUGGAGGCCAUGCUUGCUCCUUGGCUAGGGGUACCUGAUGGGUUCCUAACACCUUCAGCACUGAUGAUCUGUAAAUAUGCUCCUCAGCAUCAAGGCAUGUGGUUCCAUCCCAUGAAUUGAUUUAAUUUUCAAUUCCCAAUUUUAUAUCUGCUUACAUCAUGAUGCACAAUGGAGAAAGUAUGAGAUGCUGAUCGAGGAUUUGAUGCAAACUAGUAAUUUAAUAAUAUGGUUUAUUAUUUACAUGUCGGCGAUGUUGAGUUAUAGAAGCAUUUGUUGCUGGUUUACUUCAAUCUGGACAUGUGUCAGCUCUUAAUUCCAACUGGACAAAAUUUGGUCAUAUGUAUUGGCUUUCAGCAUUGUGAAAUGGUACCUACUUGUAUGUUAUGGUUACAGGAUCAUAUGUUAGCUAUGAGCUAAUAAAGCCAGGAUCAGUUCAUAGAAGCAUUUUUUCAGUUUAUUAGAGAUAUGCGACGGUGCAGUUUAAA